rnacentral:tRNA from 1 species
GCCAGCAUAGCUCAGCUGGUAGAGCAGCUGAUUUGUAAUCAGCUGGUCGGGGGUUCGAGUCCCUCUGCUGGCUCCA